rnacentral:rRNA from 1 species
AUUGAACGCUGGCGGCAGGCCUAACACAUGCAAGUCGAGCGGAUGAAGGGAGCUUGCUCCUGGAUUCAGCGGCGGACGGGUGAGUAAUGCCUAGGAAUCUGCCUGGUAGUGGGGGAUAACGUCCGGAAACGGGCGCUAAUACCGCAUACGUCCUGAGGGAGAAAGUGGGGGAUCUUCGGACCUCACGCUAUCAGAUGAGCCUAGGUCGGAUUAGCUAGUUGGUGGGGUAAAGGCCUACCAAGGCGACGAUCCGUAACUGGUCUGAGAGGAUGAUCAGUCACACUUGAACUUAGAAACGGUCCCGACUCCCAACGGAGGCAGCAGGUGGGAAUUUUGGACAAUGGGCGAAAGCCUGAUCCAGCCAAGCCGCGGGGUUGAAGGAGGGCUUCCGAUUGUUAAACCCUUUUAGUUGGGAGGAAGGGCAGUAAGGUUAAUCCUUGCUGGUUUGAAGGUACCAACAAGAAAAGCACCGGCUAACUUCGUG